rnacentral:rRNA from 1 species
AGUGAACGCUGGCGGUAGGCCUAACACAUGCAAGUCGAACGGCAGCACAGUAAGAGCUUGCUCUUACGGGUGGCGAGUGGCGGACGGGUGAGGAAUACAUCGGAAUCUACUUUUUCGUGGGGGAUAACGUAGGGAAACUUACGCUAAUACCGCAUACGACCUACGGGUGAAAGCAGGGGAUCUUCGGACCUUGCGCGAUUGAAUGAGCCGAUGUCGGAUUAGCUAGUUGGCGGGGUAAAGGCCCACCAAGGCGACGAUCCGUAGCUGGUCGGAGAGGAUGAUCAGCCGCACUGGAACUGAGACACGGUCCAGACUCCUACGGGAGGCAGCAGUGGGGAAUAUUGGACAAUGGGCGCAAGCCUGAUCCAGCCAUACCGCGUGGGUGAAGAAGGCCUUCGGGUUGUAAAGCCCUUUUGUUGGGAAAGAAAAGCAGCAGGUUAAUACCCCGCUGUUCUGACGGUACCCAAAGAAUAAGCACCGGCUAACUUCGUG